rnacentral:rRNA from 1 species
GACGAACGCUGGCGGCGUGCAUAAUACAUGCAAGUCGAACGCAGUGGGGACGGGUGAGUAACACGUGGGUAACCUCCCCUCAGAGGGGAUAACACUUGGAAACAGGUGCUAAACCGAUACUGAUGGAUGGACCCGCGGUUCAUUAGCUAGUUGGUGAGGUAACGGCUCACCAAGGCCACGAUGCAUAGCCGACCUGAGAGGUGGAUCGGCCACACGGGGCCGGCGAAAGGGACCAGACUCCUACGGGAGGCAGCAGGAGGGAAUCUUGGGCAAUGGACGAAAGUCUGACCGAGAAACGCCGCGGGAGUGAAGAAGGUGUUCGGAUCGUAAAACUCUGUUGUGAGAGAAGCGGUAUAUAACCAGAAAGCCACGGCUAACUACGUGCCAGCAGCCGCGGUAAUUC